rnacentral:rRNA from 1 species
GGUGCUGCAUGGCUGUCGUCAGCUCGUGUCGUGAGAUGUUGGGUUAAGUCCCGCAACGAGCGCAACCCUCGCUUCUAGUUGCCAGCAUUCAGUUGGGCACUCUAGAGGGACUGCCGGUGAUAAGCCGGAGGAAGGUGGGGAUGACGUCAAGUCCUCAUGGCCCUUACGGGUAGGGCUACACACGUGCUACAAUGGCGGUGACAGUGGGCAGCGACACAGUGAUGUGAUGCUAAUCCCAAAAAGCCGUCUCAGUUCAGAUUGCAGUCUGCAACUCGGCUGCAUGAAGUUGGAAUCGCUAGUAAUCGCUAAUCAGCAGGUAGCGGUGAAUACGUUCCCGGGCCUU